rnacentral:lncRNA from 1 species
UUUUUUUUAACCACAGAUUGAACCCAGGGUCUCAACCACUGAUCCACAUCCCCAGACCUUUGUAAUUUUUAUUUUGAUAGGGUCUCAGGACCUCACUAAGUUGCUGAGGCUGGCUUUGAAUCUGCAAUCCUCCUGCCUCAGUUUCCCAAGACACUGGGAUUAUAUAUGUGCCACCAGACCCAGCUAGACAGAGAGAUUCUAAGGAGUCUCCUCAGUCCCAUGACCCAGUACAGCCCCAAGAGUGCCCUGAUGACAGGUGUCAACUGCUGCACUGCCCCUACUUCCAGAUGUUGUCACAUGUUAGAACCCCAAUAGCAGCAGGGUACGGUGAUGUACCCUGUAAUCUCCUCUGUUCAGCAGCUCGGGAGGCUGAAAUAGGAGAAUUACCAGUUCAAAGCCAGCCUCAGCAAAAAGCAAGGCGCUAAGCAACUCAGUGAGACACUGCCUCUAAAUAAAAUACAAAAUAGGGCUUGGGAUGUGGCUCAGUGGUCAUGUGCCCCUGAGUUCAACCCCUGGUACCCCUCCUCAAAAUAACCCAAAUAACCCCAAACCCAGGUAAAGAGGCUGCCAGAGGCCAUGCUGGGAUUGAGCUGGGGUGAAAGAUGGUGUGGCCCAGGGUUAUUCUUGCUUCCUUUCCUCCAGGAGCUUUAGUACCUAGCAAAAUAGGAUCAAACCCUGCAGAGAUCCUUCAGCUUGCUGUGGGCACAGCAAACCAGAGACCACUCUUGCCCUUGCUGAUGGAUUCCCUGCCACAAUUAUUUUUCAUACCCUUCCCCUACUUGUUCCCUACUCUGUACCUGAUUCACACUUCUCUCAGACUCCCAUUAUACCUGGCUCCCACAGGGGCACGAUCCUGACCGUUUCUGAAUCUCAACCAAGUAAGCAUCCCCUGGGAGAUGCAGCAUGCCCACUCCAUAUGGGUCAGGAUGUGAAGCAUCUGACACCUUCAGCUGAUUGUGAGGAGGACAUGGUGAAAAGGGAGAACUUUUAAACAGUAGGUUCUAGACAUGAAGCCCUGAGGCUUAAGCCAGAGUGAAUAUGCAGUAUAAAGAGUUACACCAGGAGCGGGUAAGCUGCCAAGCAAGAAACAGAAGCCCAAGGACUAAGGGAAGGAAGGAUCAGGGAAGGUCCUGAAGCCCACUCUGCCUUGUUUCCAAAGAUGUCACAGACCCUGCAUCCAUUCAGCUAGCGAAAAGCCAGGUAUGGGAGCUUCUGAGAGGCAAAGACCUAUCUCUGCUUGUCAACAACACAGAGCCUUUGACAUCUCAUCACUGGAUGUAGCCACAGUAGCCAACAUGCUGCUGUCAUACCAGAGCCACACUGUGGGCUCCCCUGCUCUUCAGCCAGGUGAAGCACCUCCCUUCUUCUUGCUGGCCAGACUUAUACCCUGCCCUUGGGCUAUUGCUUUUCCUCUAUCCCAAGGGCCUCCGGCAGGGGAGGGAACAUGAACAGGUCCAGGCAGGGGAAGGAAUACGGCUCCAAUUCCCCUGAUACCUGCUCCUCUGCUAAGUCAUGUAGACCUUUCCAUGGAAUAACAUCAGCUUUGUUUCCAGGUGCAGAAAAUAUUUUUUUUAAUAUUUAUUUUUUAGUUUUCGGUGGACACAACAUCUUUUGUUUGUAUGUGGUGCUGAGGAUCGAACCAGGGCUUUACGCAUGCCAGGUAAGCCCGCUACCUCUUGAGCCACAUCCACAGCCCUGCAUAAAAUAUUAAUUGCUGAGACCUUGUUCCUUCUUGCCUGCACCCCUUUCCUUUGUCCCAGGCCUUUGGGUCACAGUUGAGGAAAGCUGCUAGGAUCCAUUCCCUGAAAGACCUGAGCAGGAUACAAGCUGCCAUUUUCAACCUUUGUAGCAUUGCAGGCUCUAUGACAAAAAUUCUGGGUUGGGCCUGCAGACACGAUGUGUCUUACUGCUGUAGUAAGGUAACCGGAGUGGGAGGACCUGGGAUUUUGGUAGCAUUUAGGAUUUCCUUAGGUUGGUGAUAGCCCUUCCAGUUCAUUCCUCUUCUAGACUGCUCUGAACAUACUGACCUGGUGCCAGGCUCUGGUUGAAGGCAAGGAAGGCAUCCUGUGUGCCAGCAUCCAUUCCAGGUGGGUGAAUACCCAGAUGGCCCAUUCUAAUUUGCACACUACAAGUCAGUUCUCUAAUUCCCAACAUUAUAGCCCUGUGGGAAUAUGAGCACAGGACUGCUCAGCUGGGUUCUUAG